CUGAGUUUUUAACUCCAAACCAUUGUGAACUUACCACUGUUGCCUCGGCGGCAGUCCUCUUCACGGAGGCGGCCGCCGGUGGACUACUAAACUAUGUUAAUUUUUGUCAAUUCUGAAUUAAAAACUUAAUAAGUUA
rnacentral:misc_RNA from 1 species